rnacentral:snRNA from 1 species
UUUCUCUCCCCUUCCCAGUUUGUAUAAAUCUUUUGCCUUUUACUAAAGAUUUUUGUGGAGAGGAGCAUUUAUGAGUUUGUACCCAAUUUUUUUGAGGUUUUGUUUUGGUAAGACU